rnacentral:rRNA from 1 species
CAUUAGACCCGAAACCAAGUGAUCUAGCCAUGAGCAGGUUGAAGGUACGGUAACACGUACUGGAGGACCGAACCCAUAUCUGUUGCAAUAGAUCGGGAUGACUUGUGGCUAGGGGUGAAAGGCCAAUCAAACUUGGAGAUAGCUGGUUCUCCGCGAAAUCUAUUUAGGUAGAGCGUCGACCGAAUACCCCCGGGGGUAGAGCACUGGAUGGGCUAUGGGGACUCACCGUCUUACUGAUCCUAACCAAACUCCGAAUACCGGGGAGUACUAGUCGGCAGACACACGGCGGGUGCUAACGUCCGUCGUGGAGAGGGCAACAACCCUGACCACCAUCUAAGGUCCCUAAGUUAUGGCUAAGUGGGAAAGGAUGUGAGGAUCCCAAAACAACCAGGAUGUUGGCUUAGAAGCAGCCAUCAUUUAAAGAAAGCGUAACAGCUCACUGGUCUAAAUAAGGGUCUUUGCGCCGAAAAUGUACCGGGGCUCAAGCCAUACAC